rnacentral:lncRNA from 1 species
GAAUAUAAGCUUGCCUUUCAUCAGUUGCACGUGGUUGAUCGCAACUUCAGCAGAUUUUACCCAACUGAAGAAGAAUGGCUUAAGGUGCAGAAAUUUACAACACUGUUGAGGCCUUUUUAUGACCUGACCACCCUUUUUUCGGGGACUAAUUAUCCAACUGCAAAUUUGUAUUUUCAUGGUGUCUGGAAAAUUCAAAAAGUUAUCACGGAAGAGGUCAAUAAUUUAGACAUUGAAGUGAGUGAAAUGGCCAGGCAAAUGAAACGGAAAUUUGAGAAGUAUUGGGAAUGUUAUAGCUUGGUUUUGAGUUUUGCCAUCAUUUUGGAUCCGCGUUUUAAAAUGGAUUAUGUGGUGUAUGCUUUUAAGAAGCUAUAUCCUUUUGAUUAUGAAGAACGUGCUAAUGAAGUUCGGGAUAAAUUUUAUUUACUAUUUGAGGAGUACGAGAAUACUUUUGAUGGUGAUUUGCUAGAUGGAUCAAUAGCAGGCUGCUCUGGUGGUGAUUUGGGCAAUGACAAUGAUGAUUUUGCUGAAUUUGAGAGUCAACAACAUGCAAACAAGAGGAAUAAGUCACAAGUAGACUCUUAUUUGGAUGAUACUCGACUCCUUUCAACUCAAGAAUUGGAUGUUCUCAAUUUUUGGAAAGAAAACAAAAAUCGAUACCCUAUUCUUUCUUUGAUGGCACGGGAUAUUUUAAGUAUUCCUAUCACUACAGUGGCCUCGGAAUCAGCUUUCAGUAUUGGUGGUAGAAUUGUGGGUAAAUAUCGUACUUCGCUCCUACCAGAAAAUGUGGAGGUCUUGUUAUGUACUAGGGACUGGUUAUAUGGAGUAACAGGUAUGUUAUACUUAACCUUUUGAGUGCACAUGAUCUUGUAUUUUACUUUUUUGGUCACUUAUUGAAUUUACUUUUGAUUUCAGCUUCUGAAGAUGAUGAAGAUAAAGAAAGACUGAGUAUUGACUUUGCACCUUUAGUUGCUAAACUUACUAACCUUCAUAUUUAGGUAAGCUGUAUUCUCAUGAUCAUGGAGAUUGUUAGUAAUGUGGUGAAAAGAAUUUUAUCUUUCUGUCUAGAUGAAAUUUAAGUAGCAAAAAACAGAACUUUGAAUUUGGUUUUGGUUUUGGUUGCCAGGAAUCUUCUCUAUUUUGUGUUGAGCCAGCAGCAAACUUUUAGGUUGCUAUCUUUUUACUGUCAAGUGGAUAUUUGUAUUGUCACUGGCACUCCUUCAAGCUGCUUACUUCAUCCCGUCUUCUAAUCAGAAUUCUAGUCAUAUUGAGCUGCUGCGCAAAGGUUUGAAGAAUAAUACUGAGUUCAGUUUAUCAAGAGAACACAUGAGCAGGCAUGGUAUAGAAACUUAUGGCAAAUAUUUUGCUCUAAUAGUACCACCGUCUGCAUUUGGAUUUUGCAGAGACCAGGCCCUGAGAGUCAACUUCUCUCGUGCAU